rnacentral:rRNA from 1 species
UACGUAGGUGGCAAGCGUUAUCCGGAUUUACUGGGUGUAAAGGGCGUGUAGGCGGGGAAGCAAGUCAGAUGUGAAAACCACGGGCUCAACCUGUGGCCUGCAUUUGAAACUGUUUUUCUUGAGUACUGGGGAGGCAGACGGAAUUCCUAGUGUAGCGGUGAAAUGCGUAGAUAUUAGGAGGAACACCAGUGGCGAAGGCGGUCUGCUGGACAGCAACUGACGCUGAGGCGCGAAAGCGUGGGGAGCAAACAGG